rnacentral:tRNA from 1 species
CCGUUAAGUCCUACUGGAUUUUCUCGGUCUGAAUAGAAUGUUGGAACAGGUUGGUUGCCAUUCCCUACAUAU